UGGGGAAUAUUGGACAAUGGGCGCAAGCCUGAUCCAGCCAUGCCGCGUGAGUGAUGAAGGCCUUAGGGUUGUAAAGCUCUUUCGCCGGUGAAGAUAAUGACGGUAACCGGAGAAGAAGCCCCGGCUAACUUCGUGCCAGCAGCCGCGGUAAUACGAAGGGGGCUAGCGUUGCUCGGAAUUACUGGGCGUAAAGCGCACGUAGGCGCUUUCUUAAGUCGGGGGUGAAAUCCUGGAGCUCAACUCCAGAACUGCCUUCGAUACUGGGAAACUUGAGUUCGGGAGAGGUGAGUGGAACUGCGAGUGUAGAGGUGAAAUUCGUAGAUAUUCGCAAGAACACCAGUGGCGAAGGCGGCUCACUGGCCCGAUACUGACGCUGAGGUGCGAAAGCGUGGGGAGCAAACA
rnacentral:rRNA from 1 species